AGGAAAGAAAGGAAAAAGAGUACAAUUUUUAUUUUAGGAACUUCCUUCCUGCAUAGCUUAAAAAACACUGAGGAGUGGAAGGGGAAAAAGUGGACAAAUGCUCCCAAUGCAGUUUUUCUUCUCUUAUCUACUGAUAAUCCAAUCUAAUGGAGAUGCAUGUUGCUAUUAACUGAGUCUCCAGUAAGAGCUCUAAGGAAUCCACAUGCCUGUGGGGUGAAAGAAAGUUGAUAAAUAGUAUUUCCCUUCCGUUGUCAGCUUUCUGUCAGUAUGCUAACCACUCAGCAUUGCCCUCCUUAUGUCAGCAUGUUAGACACCCAGCUAAUCAGCAACACAUGGGCAGCGUCAUUAUGUCAAAGGAAACUAAUUACCGGUUGGACAAAAUCUCAUUUUUCAGACGUUCUUCAAAGGGACACCGGGCUUCCUGCCUGCACAAAGUGGCACUUGGAAGAGAAGGAGCUGUCAACGCCGAAAUGCUGUGCUUGGUUUGCACCACUCCAGGGUUUAAAACAGAACAAAGAAAAACUUUUCAAAUACACAGAACAGUGUGGAGUUCUACAACAUUAUAAAGAAACUAUUCCAUAUAUCCUAUCAAGGAGAUGAGAAAGAAAAAAAAAAAAAGACUAGAAUUUACUUGUAAUUUACAUUUUAUUAAUUUUUAGUACGUCUGAAACCAUAGCUGCAUCUAAGAACAGAAAGAAAAGAAAAGAAAAAAAAAAAAAACGUUAAUUCAAAUCCAAAAACUGUAAGGACUAACAUUUCUGUUUGCUGACCGCUGUCUGUCUGCACUGCAGUUGGACUCCGGUACUGCCAGACAUGGCCUCAGGUGAAGAGCAAUGCUCGGGUAGUAACUGUGGAGCAAAACACUUCUGGCAGGGGCUGCAGUGCUGCACUCCUCGUACUGCCUCUGCGGAGCUGUGAUUUCCUACUGCAGGCAUCAAGAAGCAGUAAGCUAGCAUGUUAUGCACAUUCCUGUAGUUAUUAUAACUAACCCGUAGAGUGCUCCUACAAUAUAGAAUUUCACAGGAUUUCCUCAAUAAUUUCUUCAGGAUCUACCUAGGACUGUUGUGCAAAAGCUGUAAGUAUGCCUCUAGAGAACUGAGUAAUUAUAAGAGGUUUUAAAUAACACAAUUAAGUGUUUAAAAUAAUAAAACAUAUCAAGGUCACACAGUGAUGAGAAAGUACAAGAAAUAUUCUUCUUGCCACAACACUCUUCCUGGAACUGCACGGCAUUCAUUACAUGAGCUUUCCAGAGAAGCUUUCUGCACAUCAUAAAAAGCAGCACUCAAAUCCCUUUUUCUUUUUCCUUUUUUUGGGAGGGGUGUAUGUGUGUGUGUAGCGACCCCAGAGGCUCACUGCUGCAGCUGUGUGGGACUCCACAUCAUGCAUUUCUUUCAUAUAUUCUUUUCAUAAAAGUAAUAUUUUCACUUGAGCAGCCAUGAUUCAAAUGGUACAUUAAAAGACAUUGAGUUUAGAUGAAGAUAUGUUUUCCACAUAUAAAUUCUUAAUAAGGUAGUGAAAUUCACGGGUCAUCAUUCACAAGGCUUUAAUUAGUCUUCAAAAUUAACAAAUAGUGCUGUUUCACAUGGACAGUGCAGAUCCGAAUGCCCCACUUCAUCCAUUCAUUCCCAUCCAAUCAUUCUCCAGUGCCAGAGUUAGUAGUAUUUUUGCUUGAAGCACUGAAGAUGCAUAACCCCACAAUUAUUCAUAGGAACAUUGAUUAAAUGCAGAAUUUAUGCGCUGCAGUAUCAUUUUUUUCCAUCAGACUUCAGCGAUGGGGUUCCUCAUCACUACUGCAGGUGUCUAAAACUUAGAUGGACAAGUCUGAAUUCAGUAGACAAAAAGAGACAAGAAAGCCCAGAGAGGUUGUGGAUGACCCAUCCCUGAAGGCAUUCAAGGCCAGACUGGAUGUGACUCUGGGCAGCCUGGUUUAGUGGUUGGUGACCCUGCAUAUAGCAGGGGGGUUGAAACUAGAUGAUCACUGUGGUCCUUUUCAACCCAGGCCAUUCUAUGAUUCUGUGAAAAGUCAAUGUCUAGGCAAAAAUCUCAUCUGACUCCCAACAUUUUUUUUUUUUUUCCAGAAUGUUUC
ensembl:lncRNA